GAAAAAGGGUCAGAAUCCUGGGCCUGGGAGCUGGACCGUACUCUUAAUGGCCGGCUCAGCCACACUCCUGCAGAGUGUAGGACAGGAGGGCCAGGUCCCUCGAUCCAGGAGACGCCAAACCUCCCUCCCAGAAGCGGGACCGCAGGCCUCCCCUGACGCGUUCCCCAGCCCAGCGCACACGCGGAGGCUCUCAGCACCGGAGCUUCUCAGGCGGCAAUUUUUUAAGCCUGCAAUUAAGCGAGGCGUCGCCGUGUCCUCUGCUAGUGUCGAUCCUGUCAGUCGCACAUGGCCUUGGUGCUCCGGUCCGAGGCCCCGCGAUUAGUCACAGGCUCGCUUCGCUCCUUCCCUAAUCCGCCUCUGCAGGCAGCCUGGGGACGCGGCCGACUUGGCGGGGCUGGCAGGGAGCCACAGCGCGCGGGGCGGGCCGCCUGGCCAGUACCAGCCCCGCUGCAACUAACCCAACACGGGCCCCGGGGUGCGGGCUUGGGACUCCCUCCCCCUUCACAGUCCCCAGGCUGGGGUGGCGGCGCCCCUCCUCCUCUCGCCCCGCUCCGGGGCCUGUGAGAUCUAUUUGUGUGGUGUCAUUUGCAUAAAAAUAGGACAAGUGUUUCAGUGCGUUCGAACGCGGGAGGCGAAAUCCUUAUUGAUGUGUCUGUGUGGAGCCCUCGGUUGUCGGAGCGGUUUGAUUUAGGGUGUUUGUGUUGCCUUCUGCGAGAAAUGAGAGGAAAUCCUGCGCAACGCCUUCGGCGGUCCGGGCCGCCAAGAGCAACCCCCUCUGCGCAGAGCGGAACGGUCCACUGCCUGGACCCUGACGCGCCGGGUCCACAGUGAGCAGGUUGAGGGCCAGGCGGACGGCCCAUUAUGACUCAUAAAACAGGGCGGCCUAAUCACCAGCUGCCAACCCGUUUACGUGUGGCGCUUCCCAAUGCUCUUCGCCCGGCCAGGGCCUCCAGUGGGUUCGUCCCAGACACGGCUAGAGCCGCUCAGCGGGGGCUAAUCGAGUGACCGCUCCUUCUCGUGGGCAGUCUGGCUUCCCUUCCUGGGCAACCCGCGCGCUCUCGGCCUUUUUGCCUCGCCAGGAACUCCUCAGCUUGGACAAAUAGCUGGGAGGGCGCCGGCCGUGCGGAGCCAGUAAAUCAAUCAUUAACUCCCCAGCGAGACCUGGCCAGGGGAGGGAGCGGCAGCCAGAGGCGAGGCCGUGGGGUGGGCUGCGGGCACCAUCCCUAGGUUGGGAGCAGUACAUGCGCCAGCGGACAGAGUGCGUGAAGGCUGGUCCCCCAGGGCCUCCCGAUCUCCUCCAGAAGAUUCCGCCUGACAGGCCUUUCAAGCCUGCACCUCGCCUCGCCUGGCAGGUCGAGUUACUGCGCGGCCCCGGGGCAGGCUUGAACAUUAACGAGCCGCCCCGGGCCUCGCGGCCUGCUCUCCCUGGGAGAGCCUGCCGUGCUUGGGCAAGCUCCUUGGGUCCAGUCGGGCUCCAUCAGACUCCGACUUGCCAAACCAAAUUGAUCGCCCCGGUGUCGACCAGUUUCCUUGCGCCUCCCUCCCCACGGAGCCCACCAUAGGGCGGCACACAAGGAGUUAAAAGCUCCAGUUCGCCCUGGCUCCUCCGCGGCGCAGAGGAAGUGCUGAUCAAAGUGCUUAUGGGGAAGGAAACACACGCACACUCGGGCCUGGGUCGAAGAAGGCCGACUGGAGAGACGGCUCGGAACUGCCCGCCUCGACCCGCUUCCCACACUCCCAAGAACGCAGUGGUGGCGGCGGCAGCGCUGGCCCGUGCGAUUCUCUUCGCGGAGCUCGGCGCUGCGGGGCUGGGAGGACAGCGGGGAGGGAGAGGGAUGAGAGGCGGGAGGCGAGCCCGGGCUGAGCGCCAAGAGGCCCGGAGCCGCAGAUUAGUCACCGUUCGGCUUGGCGCUCACGGGUGUGCCCGGGAACCGGGAGGGCAGGCAUCGGCCCCGCUUAAUCGGGCUCCCGGGACCUGGGCGCCGCGGCGCAGAUGCCCCCGCUUCCACCCCCAUGAGCGCCCGGCACACCCGGCUGGACUCUCCCAGGCCCGCGCUGCCGAGAUUCAGUUGUCAGUUCAAGGGCAGGACAGAAACUCUGCAAGCAGAGUCUCGCGAACAGGAAAUUUCUCAUUGACAAGGUGCUGCCCCUCCCCCACGCCCGGCUUCAAAACAAAACAAAAAACCCAGCGCCAGCAACCAACGCAGUCAGCCUGGGCCCGCCGCUGCCUCGGCGACCCCCGCGUCUGUGCCCUGGCCCGGGGAGUGGAAAGCUCGCCAAACCCCGGCCCCUGAGCGCCGGCGCAAAUAAACAGGCCCGGCGGGUAGGCUUGUCUGAGGCCCUGCUGAGGGCGCCCAGCUGCCACCCCCCGGGACCCGAGCAGGGUCGGACGAGUACGCUGAGCGCAAGAGGCUCCUUGCCCUCUUGGGUGAAGAACCCCGCAGAGCGGCUUUGCAGAGCUGCUGAAGGCCGCCAGGGCACUCAUGUCAUUUAAUUUCUUUGGGAAAAUCUACAAAUUUCAGACAAAAUAUCCUUCUCCUCUCCCCCGGCUAAUGUCCUAUCAGGAACCCAGGGAACCACUGGAAAUGUAAACGGACUCCACCAGCAGACACUCCAGUGGGAAGUUUGUAGAUCUCCACCUCAGCAACAGAAUCAACCACUUUCUAACAAUAUUGCCACUGGAUUGUGAAACAUCCUAGCUUCCUUGCUGGAGUGGAACCUUUCUGAAACCCUGUGUUCAUCUAUCCAUUCUGAUGUUCCCACAGCACCCAGCACAGAGCCUCAACCCAUUUUGUCUUUCUCCUACACCUGCUAACAUACCAUGUAGAGGCUCUUCUUGGCAGAAUUAUUGAAUCACCCUGUGUAUUCAUUCCUUUGGAGCAUUCCCCAUCUUUAGAAUGUCCUUCCUUGACCCCCCACAUCCCCUUCCCUGGCUCCCUAUUUGUCUGCUCCCUUGCACAGCUGUACUUCUUGAAAGAGGUAUAUACAUCUAUGCGGCAUCUCUAUUUCUUACCUCCAUUUCUUACUUCCUGUGCACUCUAAAACUCAGCUAGUUUUUAAGUUAUUCUAAGAUGUUGGGAUAAUUGUUGUUUGUUACAGCAUAAGAUUAGGAACAACCUAAAUGUCCAGCAAUGGCAUUGAUGAUACAUGCACAGGAUGGAAUAUUCUGUAGCUAUUUAAAAAAUAAAGAUCUGCUCUGUGAACUGA